AACAGGCACUGAUAAUCAUUCUCAUUCAAUAUUCCACAUACCCCUUUGCCGAACAAUCAUAAGCUCCUACGUAAAUAUCUCUUUGCCUUUUCGUCUCUUCUCUUAACUAAGCUCUUUGAUUGGUUCAGCUUGCAGACCUUCAAACAUGGAGCCAAAGUGUGCAAUCAAGAAAGAUGCUACUGAACUAAUAGGUAAUACCCCAAUGGUAUAUCUGAAUAACAUAGUGGAGGGGUGCGUGGCCCGCAUUGCUGCUAAGUUAGAAUCCAUGCAACCCUGCUUCAGUAUCAAAGAUAGGACAGCAUUUAGCAUGAUCAAAGAUGCUGAGGAAAAAGGUCUCAUUACCCCGGGAAAGAGUGUUGUUGUGGAGGCUACGAGUGGGAACACCGGCAUUGGAAUGGCAUUCGUAGCAAUUUUGAAGGGCUACAAGGUAAUAGUUGCAAUGCCAGCUUCGGUGAGUCUGGAGAGAAAAAUUGUGCUUCUAGCCUUCGGAGCUGAGGUGCAUCUCACAGACCCUGCCAAAGGAACCGAUGAAGUUCUUAGGAAGGCAGAGGAGAUAGUGAAUAACACCCCCGGCAGUUACAUGCUGCGCCAGAUCGAUAAUCCUGCCAAUCCAAAAGUUCAUUAUGAGAGUACUGGGCCUGAGAUAUGGAGAGACUCCGGUGGGAAAGUUGAUGCUUUGGUUGCAGGGGUAGGAACAGGGGGCACAAUAACGGGUGCUGGCAGAUUUCUCAAGGAGAGGAACCCCAAUGUCAAGUUGUACGGUGUAGAACCAGUUGAAAGUGCAGUUCUUAGUGGAGGACCUCCAGGUGAUCACCUAAUCCAAGGGAUUGGUAAUGGUAUCAUUCCGAAUGUACUGGAUGUUAAUCUCCUAGAUGAAGUCAUCCAGAUAUCAAGUGUAGAAGCAAUAGAAACUGCUAAGCUGCUUGCUUUAAAAGAAGGUUUGUUGAUGGGAAUUUCAUCAGGUGCCGCAGCAGCCGCUGCCAUAAAAUUGGGGAAGAGACCUGAAAAUGCCGGAAAACUCAUCGUUUUCGCCAGGUUGUUGGAUUCAGUCACCCUGUUUCUGGGUGGGUUGGAUUCACAAAUCCUCCUUCCCUUAGGGAGGGACAGAAAUGCAAGAUAAACACAAGAAAACGUAGCUGUGCAGACAAGGGACUGUGACUUAAAAGAUAAACACCGGAAGAAGAAAAAAAAAAAGACUCUUCAAACAGCUAAAGAAAACCUCCAAAAUGGGGAAGCUCUGACACCAUGUGGAACAUAAAGGUGGUAUUUCCCAGUUAUGGAGAGCGUUAUUUGUCAUCACCAUUGUUCGAAUCCAUUAGGCAUGAAGCUGAACAAAUGACAUUUCAUUAAGAUAAUCUCCUAAGUAAUUCUGCUCUCUGAAUUUUAUGGUAUCAGAGUAUUUUUGUUUUUUGUGUAAUGAUCCUCUGUUCAUGAGGAUCCACCACUUGUUUGACUUCAAUAAUGCAAAAGAAUUUUGCAAGAGAAGCCAACGAUGAUCCCUUAUUCAAAAC